AUUGAACGCUGGCGGCAGGCCUAACACAUGCAAGUCGAACGAGUGGCGGACGGGUGAGUAAUGUCUGGGAAACUGCCUGAUGGAGGGGGAUAACUACUGGAAACGGUAGCUAAUACCGCAUACCAUCGGAUGUGCCCAGAUGGGAUUAGCUAGUAGGUGGGGUAAAGGCUCACCUAGGCGACGAUCCCUAGCUGGUCUGAGAGGAUGACCAGUGACACUGGAACUGAGGCGCGGUCCAUAUACAUACGGGAGGCAGCAGUGGGGAAUAUGGCACAAAGGGCGCAAGCCUGAUGCAGCCCUGCCGCCUAUCUGAAGAAGGCCUUCGGGUUGUAAAGUACUUUCAGCGGGGAGGCGUUAGCCGCAGAAGAAGCACCGGCUAACUCCGUGGCAGCAGCCGCGGUAAUAC
rnacentral:rRNA from 1 species